rnacentral:rRNA from 1 species
UACAGAGGUCUCAAGCGUUGUUCGGAUUCAUUGGGCGUAAAGGGUGCGUAGGCGGCGCGGUAAGUCGGGUGUGAAAAUCUCGGAGCUUAACUCCGAAACUGCAUUCGAUACUGCCGUGCUUGAGGACUGGAGAGGAGACUGGAAUUUACGGUGUAGCGGUGAAAUGCGUAGAUAUCGUAAGGAAGACCAGUGGCGAAGGCGGGUCUCUGGACAGUUCCUGACGCUGAGGCACGAAGGUCAGGGGGAGCAAAACGGG